rnacentral:rRNA from 1 species
AGCAGCCGCGGUAAUUCCAGCUCCAAUAGCGUAUAUUAAAGUUGUUGCAGUUAAAAAGCUCGUAGUUGAAUUUCGGAAUCAAUAUGUCGGUCGUGCUUCGGUACGUACUGGUAUCAUUGGUUUCUCCUUUCUGACGAACCAUGAUGUCAUUAAUUUGGUGUUAUGGGGAGUUAGGACUGUUACUUUGAAAAAUUAGAGUGUUUAAAGCAGGCUUACGCUUGAAUACAUUAGCAUGGAAUAAUGAAAUAGGACGUUUGAUUCUAUUUUGUUGGUUUCUAGGAUCGACGUAAUGAUUAAUAGGGAUAGUUGGGGGCAUUAGUAUUCAAUUGUCAGAGGUGAAAUUCUUGGAUUUAUUGAAGACUAACUACUGCGAAAGCAUUUGCCAAGGAUGUUUUCAUUAAUCAAGAACGAAAGUUAGGGGAUCGAAGACGAUCAGAUACCGUCGUAGUC